GACGAACGCUGGCGGCGUGCUUAACACAUGCAAGUCGAACGGAAAGGCCCUGCUUUUGUGGGGUGCUCGAGUGGCGAACGGGUGAGUAACACGUGAGUAACCUGCCCUUGACUUUGGGAUAACUUCAGGAAACUGGGGCUAAUACCGGAUAGGAGCUCCUGCUGCAUGGUGGGGGUUGGAAAGUUUCGGCGGUUGGGGAUGGACUCGCGGCUUAUCAGCUUGUUGGUGGGGUAGUGGCUUACCAAGGCUUUGACGGGUAGCCGGCCUGAGAGGGUGACCGGCCACAUUGGGACUGAGGUACGGCCCCGACUCCUCCGGGAGGCAGCAGUGGGGAAUAUUGCACAAUGGGCGGAAGCCUGAUGCAGCAACGCCGCGUGCGGGAUGACGGCCUUCGGGUUGUAAACCGCUUUCGCCUGUGACGAAGCGUGAGUGACGGUAAUGGGUAAAGAAGCACCGGCUAACUACGUG
rnacentral:rRNA from 1 species